UACGUAGGGGGCAAGCGUUGUCCGGGUUCAUUGGGCGGAAAGAGCUCGUAGGCGGUUCAGUAAGUCGGGUGUGAAAGCUCCGAGCUCAACUCGGAGAGGCCACCCGAUACUGCUGUGGCUUGAGUCCAGUAGAGGAGCGUGGAAUUCCUGGUGUAGCGGUGAAAUGCGCAGAUAUCAGGAGGAACACCAGCAGCGAAGGCGGCGCUCUGGGCUGGAACUGACGCUGAGGAGCGAAGGCGUGGGUAGCAAACAGG
rnacentral:rRNA from 1 species